rnacentral:rRNA from 1 species
GAUGAACGCUAGCUACAGGCUUAACACAUGCAAGUCGAGGGGAAACGGCAUCGAAAGCUUGCUUUUGAUGGGCGUCGACCGGCGCACGGGUGAGUAACGCGUAUCCAACCUGCCCAUCACUUGGGAAUAACCUUGCGAAAGUAAGACUAAUGCCCAAUGACAUCCCACGAAGGCAUCCGAAUGGGAUUAAAGAUUUAUCGGUGAUGGAUGGGGAUGCGUCUGAUUAGCUUGUUGGCGGGGUGACGGCCCACCAAGGCAACGAUCAGUAGGGGUUCUGAGAGGAAGGUCCCCCACAUUGGAACUGAGACACGGUCCAAACGCCUACGGGAGGCAGCAGUGAGGAAUAUUGGUCAAUGGGCGAGAGCCUGAACCAGCCAAGUAGCGUGCAGGAGGACGGCCCUAUGGGUUGUAAACUGCUUUUAUAAGGGAAUAAAGUGGGUCACGUGUGACUUUUUGCAUGUACCUUAUGAAUAAGGACCGGCUAAUUCCGUG